rnacentral:lncRNA from 1 species
UGAAUAUUGAACUGUAGAAUAGAGUUUUAGACUCUAUAAUUACCUGAUAAAGUCGUCGGUACACCAAAAUGUUUUAGAAAUUGAUCUGGACUUAGAUAGUUUGACUGUAUAAGUGUUUGUUUGUGAUCCAAUGACUGAUAUAAUUACGUGACAAUGUAAUUAGGUUAUGUGCUGACGGCAAAUAGUAGUACUAUGUGUUAUAGUAUGUUAUUCUAAUCGAACAAAUGAUCUUAUUAAUGAUAGGUCUUGAUAUAAAAGAUAAAACUAAGUUGUGUAAGCAGCAGAUCAGGCAAGUAUCUAACACUUUUCAUUUACUUUAUGCAAUGGACAUGAUUAAUAAAGUUUUAGAAUUAUAUUAUCGCUAUACCAGAUUAUUAACUCCGUUGUUAUUGAUUACGUAUCCAAAUAAUUGUAUUCAUACAAGUUCU